CUUGGGCUGGUGGGGUUGGCCGUCGCCGGGGCCCUGCUGCCCGUCGGGGCGCGUCCUGGGCGGGCUCCGUGCAGCCCCGAGCUGGGGGCUGGCGUCCCCGACCCCGGAGACGGGAGGCCCGUCCCGGCCGAGCUUCCCCGAGAAGCGCCGCCGCCUCCGUAGGUAGCGAGCCUCCCGCCCAUCCGCGGACAAGGACCGGCGCUCCCGGGUCCUGGGGUCCCGGCACCCGGUGGUUUUGGGGGUCAGUCCUGCCCGAUGGCGCUGAGAGGGGCACGUGGGGUGUUGUGUUUUUGGAAACGCAGAGGAGCGAGCAAGCUGCCUGGCCUGUAGCCCUUCCCCCCGGCCAAGGAGAUGACCAACCAGUACAGCAUCCUCUUCAAGCAAGAGCAAGGUGAGCCGCCUGCCUGGGAAAACGGGUCGUCUCUGGUUCCUUUAGGAAAUUGUUGUCGUGCCGACCAGACAUGCCGUCCCCAGGUUACUCCCUGCAGGGAAGUCAGCAGAGGCGGCCGGACACAGACACUGAAAAGCAAACAGCGAGGCAGACAAAGGAGGCAGAUAGGCCGGAGGGCUUCCCCGCUGCCGGGGUGGCCCCCACGAGGGGGUGGCCCCCAGAGGCCGCUGCACACGGGCCCGAGGGCGACUCCCGUUAACAGAGAGGUCGGCUUUGAGUCCAGCUCUGCCCCUUCUUAGCUUUGGAGUUCCAGGGAGCUACUAGUCUCUCUUUUUAAAAGAUAUUUUAAAAAUCGAUUGGAGAGAGAGAGAGAGAGGAAGGGAGGGUAGAGAAGCCUCCACUGGCUGCCUCCUGCACGUCCCUACGCAGGACGAGUCCUCAGUCCAGGAAUCCAUCCAGUGACCUGGUUCAUGGGUUGAUUUGUACCCACUCAGCACCCCUGCCCCCGCCCCCCGGCCGGCACUGCAGGCUCCUCUGGGCCUCUGACUCCUUGUCUGUAACGUGAGGUGCCGCUCACAGCGCCUGCUCUGUGGGGUUGUGGUGGCGACAAAUGGAGGUGACACUUCCAGGGGGAUUAGUGCAGUCGCCAGCCCCUGACGCAGACCACACGUGCGGCCCAGGCAGCUUGUGGGGCCGCAUCAGGCACGCGCUCUGGGGCCUCGCUGUUGGCAGUCACUGCCCGCCGGCUCCCAGAGGUGCUGGGAGGCAGCGCUCGCCCAGCUGAGGGCUCUAGGGCCGUGGGCGGUGGGCGGUGGGGAGGCUCGUCUCCAUCGGGUGGUGGUAGCGCCUCCCCCUGGCCGGCCUGU